rnacentral:rRNA from 1 species
GAUGAACGCUGGCGGUAUGCCUUACACAUGCAAGUCGUAUGAGAGUUUUUAACUCAAGUGGCGGCCGGGUGAGUAACACGUAAGAAUUUACCUUUAGGAGGGGGAUAACAACUGGAAACGGUUGCUAAUACCCCAUAUGCUUUCGAGUGAAAUGGGUCUCCGCCUAAAGAAAAGCAUGCGGCUGAUUAGCGUGUUGGUGAGGUAAUGGCUGACCAAUGCGACGAUCAGUAUCUGGUUUGCGAGGAUGACCAGACACACGGGAACUAAGACACGGGUCAGCCUCCUACGGGAGGUAACAGUGGGGAAAGUUCAGCCAUGGGGGAAAGCCUGACGGAGCAAUACCGCGUGAGGGAUGGAGGCCUAUGGGUUGUAAACCUCUUUUUUAAGGGAGGAAUCAAUGACGUGUGCCUGAAGAAUAAGCAUCGGCUAACUCCGUGCCAGCAGCCGCCGCCGUAA